AAUAGGAAUGUAUUUAAUUAUCGUAUAAGUUAUCUAAUACGGAGAUAACGUUUCUACCGUGACACCACAAUGUUACGACUACGAUUAUUGAAGCACGUAGG
rfam:Tenericutes bacterium GWD2_38_27 gwd2_scaffold_1864, whole genome shotgun sequence.